rnacentral:antisense_RNA from 1 species
GUAGGAGUGAGCCUGCUCGCGAUAGCGGUCCGUCAGUCAGCAACGAUGUUGAAGCUGGUCGCCCUAUCGCGAGCAGGCUCACUCCUAC